rnacentral:rRNA from 1 species
ACACUCCUGCGGGAGGCAGCAGUGGGGAAUAUUGCACAAUGGGCGCAAGCCUGAUGCAGCCAUGCCGCGUGUAUGAAGAAGGCCUUCGGGUUGUAAAGUACUUUCAGCGGGGAGGAAGGCGAUAAGGUUAAUAACCUUGUUGAUUGACGUUACCCGCAGAAGAAGCACCGGCUAACUCCGUGCCAGCAGCCGCGGUAAUACGGAGGGUGCAAGCGUUAAUCGGAAUUACUGGGCGUAAAGCGCACGCAGGCGGUCUGUCAAGUCGGAUGUGAAAUCCCCGGGCUCAACCUGGGAACUGCAUUCGAAACUGGCAGGCUAGAGUCUUGUAGAGGGAGGUAGAAUUCCAGGUGUAGCGGUGAAAUGCGUAGAGAUCUGGAGGAAUACCGGUGGCGAAGGCGGCCCCCUGGACAAAGACUGACGCUCAGGUGCGAAAGCGUGGGGAGCAAACAGGAUUAGAUACCCGUGUAGUCCCA